GAGAUGCUGAGGACACCCACGCCCUGUGACGACCUGCUUAUAGUGCCUGAACACUCCAACCAGACGGAAGAAGCCGUAACAUGGGCUCCUGUUACCCAAAGGUGUUGAGGAUAGAAGACCUAGAGGACGGAAUGAAGACAGACAGACUUCAGGAGGUUCGUGAGCUCCUCAAAGCCUGGUGCUGGCCUGGCUCUGACUCACACAGAUCUGAAGCCACUUCUGCCCGAUGAACAACACAGAGCCAAGGCCCAAAAGUGCCCCCUUCCUUCCCUCCCUGCUCAUCAGGUGGCAUUUAUUGUAUCACCUGGUAAUUAUCUGUGCUGUCUGGAAUCUCCAGGGGGCUGGGAGGGAAGCCUUGUCUUAUCCACGUCCUGGUCUCCCCACUCCCCCACGCCCAGCGUCUCGGGAAAGCCAGCUCACUUCUGUCUCACAGCCUCCUGGACCAUAAGGCAAGCACAUCUGUCUACCCACAACUCCCUGCGACUUAACUGGUACCCAAGCCGCCCAACAAUUUCCCUACACACCGUACUCAACUUACCCAGAGCUUCCUUCCUCUUUGGGACAAUUCCUCUGCUUCUUUACAUCUUGGAUGCAUAGGGCCCAAGUCUGAGCCACUGUCUGUGUCAGAUGCCCAAGGUCUACAAGCCCCAACCUGAGUCAAGUAACUACCCUCCUCUGAUCCUUACCAGCCUCAGGAGCCAGAGUCCAGCCCCUCAGGAGCCACCCCCACCUCCGACUGGUCCCUUCCAAUUGGUGUUAUCUGUGACCUCCUCCGAGCCACACCUAACCCCCUCCCCCACCACUCCUGUCACCUGGUGACUUCACAGUUUGCAAGGCUGUUGUUUCCUUAAUGGAACUCCAAUGUUCCACAUGUAAAUUGGAACUUUUUUUUUUUUCCUCUCCCACUGGAAAACCCUUCAAAGGCCCCCUUUGCCCUGCAGAGAAAUUCUUUGCCUUGCUGGUACCUGCCCUGCCCUCUCUCUGCCCUCAGUGCUCCUGCCAGGACAUUUUACAGGCUACUACCUUGGUCUUAAGUAGACUUCCUUCAAACUCUGCUACCUUAUGACACCUUCCUAAACCUUUCUUUGCUCCCAACUCUGAGGGCAAAACUGUCACCUCUUACUUCCUCUGCCAAACUCUGGGCAGCACCCACAGUGCCCAGUCAUCAUUCUUGAAUGGACUGAUGCUGAGGGAGUGGAUGGGUAGACUCAUAAAGUCAUAAAGAGGGGCUACGUGCAGCCCAAAGGUAGAAUGAUUGACAAGCAUGCCAAAGACCCUGGGCUCAAAUAUCAGCACCAAUAGGAGAAGAAAAUAAUGUCACAGAAGAUUAAUUACAUAAAAAAAAAUAUAAAAGCACAUUUAUGCAA